rnacentral:lncRNA from 1 species
UCGCAGCCCCAUGAUGGACGUUCUGGAACCACUCCCGGGCCUCAUGUUUACAAAGAGACCGAGAGGCCCAUCGUCCAGGGUCACAGGGAUGGCAGGUGGCAGAGAGGACACAAAUGAGUCUGCAACCCUCAAUGUCUGAAACUCAAUAGCUGGAAGACGGAUACCCCCAGCCCCUGCCCCUCCCCGAGGUCCCACCUAUCCACCUAUGUUACCGGGGGAGGGGAGAAGUCAUAGCUGGAACUCUGGGGGUUUCCCAGAACCAGCCCUGCUGACUGCGAACAGCGUCCCAGCAUGGAGAGGCUGAGAACAGUACGUACCCUAAGACCUGGAAAAGAUUGGGGCACAAAUCCACGCUCGGCACAGCCAUCACACACGGCCACACCCAGAGAGCCACCCAUGGCCUGGGAAGCAGGGCUGCCACCCGCACCUCCCUGGGCUGCCCAGACGAGGGCGGGUGAACAGAAGGGCAGCCCAGGGCCAUGUGUCAGGAUUCGGGCCACCUGCCCAGGCAGCCCAGAGCUCCACCCACCACCCCCCACCCUCAACUGCACAGCAGGGUCCCUCAGCAGCCCCCUGCGUCACACGGACCAAUGACCUACACACUGAGCCGGGGCUCAUGCCAACUGAAAAUUGGGACCCGGCCCAGUCUGCCGGUUUAGUUGCUGAGAUGAUGUGGGGAGCGGGACAGAGCACGUGGAUGCAGAGAGGCAGAGCUGCCAGAUGGGCAUGUCCCCAAGACAACAGCUUCCUUGGGAUCAGAGCGCCCGGGACAGCACACCAGCCAAGGGAAGCGUGUCAGCUCCAAAAGCGGGCCUCGGGCGUUUUGGGCGACUGGCUGCCAGGCUUAGGUCAGGAGCUGGGUACAUGCACAGACAAGGGACGAAGGAACAGCAGCCAGGAAGGGGUCCAAAUCCAUACAGGAAUGUACUUUGUGAGAAAGGUGGGAUUUCACAGCUGUAAGCAAAAGACAGGUGCUCUCGACAGGUGGGGCUGAGAAGAAAGCUGAGCCAAGAUCUAAAAAAAAAAUUACAUCAGCUCCAUCCCACCAUGUUACAUAAUAACAUGCUCCAGCUGGAUCAAAGCUUCAACCAUGGAAACAAGCAAGCAGUCAAGGAGAAGCCAGAAGAAAAGCUCUGGAGGCCGGGCACGGUGGCUCAUGCCUGGAAUCCCAGCACUUUGGGAGGCCGAGGCGGUCGGAUCACGAGAUUAGGAGAGCGAGACCAUCCCGGCCAACAUGGUGAAACCUCAUCUCUAAAAUACAAAAGUUAGCCCGGGUGUGGUGGCGUGCACCUGUAGUCCCAGCUACUUGGGAGGCUGAGGCAGGUGAAUUGCUUGAACCCGGGAAGCAGAGGUUGCAGUGAGCUGAGAUUGCACCACUGCACUCCAGCCUGGUGACAGCAAGACUCUGUCUCAAAAAAAAAAAAAAAAAAAGCACUGGAGAGGCCACAAAAGAAUUCUCUCAGCAUGGAAAUGGGGAAGGCAUUUCUAAGAAUGACCCCAAACCCAAAAGCCAUGAACUAAAACUGACACAUUUAAUUAUACAGAGAUCAAAAAAUCCUACACAGCAAAGUGACCAUAAGCAGAGCCAACAUAGAAGCAACUAGAGGGAAACAUGUGCAACUCAUAUCAUAGGCAAAAGCCUAAAUUGCCUAAUAUGUAAAGAGUGCUGCCGGGCACGGUGGCUCCCGCCUGUAAUCCCAGCACUUUGGGAGGCCGAGGCGGGCGGAUCACGAGGUCAGGAGAUCGAGACCAUCCUGGCUAACAUGGUGAAACCCCGUCUCUACUAAAAAUACAAAGAAUCAGCUGGGCGUGGUGGCGGUUCGCCUGUGGUCCCAGCUACUCGGGAGGCUGAGGCAGGAGAAUGGUGUGAACCUCGUAGGCGGAGCUUGCAGUGAGCAGAGAUGGCGCCACUGCACUCCAGCCUGGGCGACAGAGCGAGACUCUGUCUCAAAAAAAAAAAAAAAAAAAAAAAAAAAAGAGUGCCUACAAAUCACUAAUAAAAAGACAAACUAUCUACUAAAUAAUGU